CACGCGGAGGCGUCGCCUAGCCAGGCAGCUGUCACUGGUAGAGAAAAGAGCAGUUUCCGUGGAGCCGGGGCCGGGAAGGAGGUGGCCAGGGAAGCGGGUUGGAGCAGAGAGAACCGACAACCCUCUCAAGACCUUCACCUGGAAGGGGAAGAGAGGGAGCAGGAGCUGCAGGGGGCAGGAGGUCUGGAAAAGAUGACUCUUUAUUAUCACUGCCGUGGUCGUCAUCGUCGUCGUCCUUCGUGGGAGAAGCUGAUGCACAUUAAAAUGCUGGCAGGGAGAAGAGCGUGGGAUGGAAGAGCUUCUGUUUUCGGCUUGAUGAACCCGGGAAACGGCCACGUGACAGAGGAGAGAUCCCGGAAGAAGCUGGCGAAAGACUGUCCUCCUACCGUCCUUUCACUCCCAGUUGACCUCCGCCGAGCGCUCAGAGCCAAGGCCAGCCUGCGUGAGGGCAGGGCCCCAGCGCAGCCCAGGGGCAGCUCCCUGGCGCUCCCGCAGGCAGGGCUACCAGGGCCUUUCCAGCCGCAGUCUGACCCCUUGUCUCCCUUCUAGAACCAGCCCUUUCUCCUCUGGUCCAUUUUAACUUAAUUGCACUCAAAUCAGUUCCUCGGCCUGGACCUUUUUUAGGCAUUAGCAACUGGAGGAGUGUUGUUGUAUUACUUCACAUUUUCCAAACCCACUUCACACAGAUGGAAUCUCUUGUGCUCCUAUAAGGCCAAGCACAGAAGAGGAACAGUGCCAAGGAGGCUGGGCCCGGGCCUCGCUUUAGUGCAGUUAGAAUGGUCUUAUUUCUUUUGACAUCUUGAUAAAUCUUUCUGUGCUGGAUUUGGGAGAUUUCAACCCUGAGGAAUGCUCGUACCCCGUUUGUUCAUUCAACAAACGCUGCCUGGCAUCUGCUGUGAGCCAGCCUGUGCCCUGCGUGUCACCUUCUUUGUCAGGCUUUCUCUCUCUUGGUCUCCACCCCAAUUCUACACGUUAGGUUCAGCAUCCCUGUUCUCCUCAGCCGUGAAACUGAUGCUAGGAGAGGGGUCACCCAGGAAAUGAGUGACAGGGAUUUGGAGCAAGGUGUUCUGGCUGUUAAGUCUUUUGCUCCUUUCCUUUUAUCAAGAUAACCUCUCAGUGUUUCACUCUGUUGAGGUUUUAGUUUUAAAUGUUAUAUGUCUUCUAGUAUGAAAGGGUCCUUGGAGAAUUGUCAGAACCCAAGAAUGGCACAUACGGUUUUGAAUCAGGGUCUUAGAAAUGUUCAAAGCAAACAAAUUUGGGGCAGGAGUGUAACGUCCUUGCUCUGGUUCCUGUCUGCCUGACAUCCACAAAA